rnacentral:rRNA from 1 species
AUUGAACGCUGGCGGCAUGCUUUACACAUGCAAGUCGAACGGUAACAGGCCUUCGGGUGCUGACGAGUGGCGCACGGGUGAGUAAUGCAUCGGAACGUACCCAGAGGUGGGGGAUAACGCAGCGAAAGCUGUGCUAAUACCGCAUGUGAUCUGAGGAUGAAAGCGGGGGACCGAGCAGCAAUGUUUGGCCUCGCGCCUUUGGAGCGGCCGAUGUCGGAUUAGCUAGUUGGUGGGGUAAAGGCCUACCAAGGCGACGAUCCGUAGCUGGUCUGAGAGGACGACCAGCCCCACUGGGACUGAGACACGGCCCAGACGCCGACGGGAGGCAGCAGUGGGGAAUUUUGGACAAUGGGCGCAAGCCUGAUCCAGCAAUGCCGCGUGCGGGAAGAAGGCCUUCGGGUUGUAAACCGCUUUUGGCAGGAACGAAACGGUGUCCGCUAAUACCGGGCGCUAAUGACGGUACCUGCAGAAUAAGCACCGGCUAACUACGUG